rnacentral:rRNA from 1 species
UGAUCUGAAAUCAGGUAGGAUUACCCGCUGAACUUAAGCAUAUCAAUAAGCGGAUGAAAAGAAACUAACAAGGAUUCCCUUAGUAACGGCGAGUGAAGCGGGAAGAGCUCAAAUUUGAAAUCUGACAUUAUACCAGUGUCCGAGUUGUAACCUAGAGAGAUGUUUUCGGUGGGCGCCUGGGUUUAAGUCUCUUGGAAUGGGGCAUCAUAGAGGGUGAGAAUCCCGUCUUUGAUUCGGAGCAGCCUACUAUGUGAUACAUCUUCAAAGAGUCGGUUUGUUUGGGAAUGCAGACCAAAAUGGGUGGUAAAUUCCAUCUAAAGCUAAAUAUAGGCGAGAGACCGAUAGCGAACAAGUACCGUGAGGGAAAGAUGAAAAGAACUUUGAAAAGAGAGUUAAACAGUACGUGAAAUUGUUGAAAGGGAAACGUUUGGAAUUAGUCUUGUAGGCAAGAAAUCAGCUUGGCUUUUGGGCCNAGUGCAUUUUCUUGUUUUACAGGUCAGCGUCAGUUUUGGUUGCCAGAAAAAAGCUAAGAGAAUGUGGCUCGCUUCGGUGAGUGUUAUAGCUCUUGGCCGAUAUGGUGACUGGGACUGAGGUCUGCAGCCAACCGGUUUUAACCGUCAGGGGACUUCAUUCGCUAGUGGUAGUUUUUUUAUGAACAGCUUGCUGAUCAUGAUUAGAUUUGCUGCUACUCGUUUGUGUGUCUCUCU